rnacentral:rRNA from 1 species
AACGCGAAGAACCUUACCUGGGCUUGACAUGCUGGUGUAAGCCGGUGGAAACAUCGGCCCCUCUUCGGAGCGCCAGCACAGGUGCUGCAUGGCUGUCGUCAGCUCGUGUCGUGAGAUGUUGGGUUAAGUCCCGCAACGAGCGCAACUCUCGCUCCCAGUUGCCAGCGGUUCGGCCGGGGACUCUGGGGGGACUGCCGGCGUUAAGCCGGAGGAAGGUGGGGACGACGUCAAGUCAUCAUGGCCCUUACGUCCAGGGCGACACACGUGCUACAAUGCCUGGUACAGCGCGUCGCCAACUCGCAAGAGGGAGCCAAUCGCCAAAAGCCGGGCUAAGUUCGGAUUGUCGUCUGCAACUCGACGGCAUGAAGCCGGAAUCGCUAGUAAUCGCGGAUCAGCCACGCCGCGGUGAAUACGUUCCCGGGCCUUGUACACACCGUAGUAC